GAAGAAACUAAAUACUGAGACAGAGUCCAUGUCUCUUCUAUUUUUCGAUGAACUAAUAAGUCAUAUCAUGGUAUGAAGUGAGUCAUGCACAACCACAUCAGCCAUGCUACAUUUUCCAAUGAAAUGUCAGUUUUGUCCACAGAUACAAACUGCGCAAGUUGCAUGCAGCCUUCUACAAAUUACUUGCAAAUGUACAAGGGUAACUUACUUUUUAUCCUUGUUAGCUUAAAAAGGACACCACAGCUUCACUAUGACUCUCAUACAAGCUAAGCUUCACAACAAUUUCUCCAACAGCAUAGUAUGUGUCACCUCAGCAGCUUGGAUAUCUAAUGAGGACAGAAAGGAAGCAUCAGGCAACCAAAACAAAAGAAUGACACCUCUGCAGCUUCAGAAUUAAUUAGUACCAAUUAAACAAAGACAUAGAGCAUCAUGCCUACCUUUUGUUCUAGAUGGUAUGCCCCUUUUUGACUAUAUAUAUGCUAGCUAGCUUUUGCCGGUCUCAAAAAGAAGCAUCAAGCAUUCAGGCAGUCACAUGCAUAUUUCUCAUAAAUUGUGGAGCAUUAAUGUUUCUGUAUCUUUUGAUACAUAUACAUGGAGUUUAAUUUUCUCCUGUUAUCAAAUACGCAGUGAAAAACUACCGACGUACAACUACUAAUUAUAUGAGAAAAUCAUCAUCCAACCUAAUAGCUACAAAUUACAAGUAAGCAAUCCAUCAUGUUUAAUUAAACACAGGUAGACAUGUCAUCAUACUUGAUUAACCCUAUUUAAUUUGUUUCUCCCAUGUAGCAAGUAGAGAGCCUACACUGGAAUAGGGGUUCUCUCCUAAAAAAUGAUGCAGCCGCCAUUAGGAAAGAGGAACAACUAAUUAAGCACCCUCCAAUUAAAUUUCACUUUAUCUUCUUUCCAUGAGAAAUUAAUUGAUUAAAGAGGGACGAUUAAUUUAUUAGUCCAGUUCAUCAAAAGUCAGUAAGACUAAAAGAAAGGAAGGGACGAUUAAUCUAAAGCAGAGAAGAGACAGAGCUACCACCUUUGGCUGGAUCAAAGAAGAUAACCUUGUGUUUUCCUCCUCAGGAGCCUUGUGCCACUUCUCUUUUAUUUGAUAAGAAUCCCAUUGCCACCCAGCUUCUUCUAAUCUCCCUCGUCAGCAGUUCCUUUCAGCAUCCCGUUGUCCAGAGUCAAGCUAAUUAAAUUUCUAUCAAUCUCAGAGCUUAGAAAGCAUAAAUGUGCAGACGCCUAAAUAAAGAGACGGAGGAGGAACUUUUACAAUCCAAUUUGUAAGCAUCAAUCUCCAAGAAGGAAGAAAUCAAGGGAGAACCAGACCAAGGAGAUUUUUUUACUAGGUUAGAGAGAGAGUAGACCAUACGGAGGAUGGCAGUCACCGCUGUCUUCUUGUCGUUGGCGCCUUCUCCGACAGAGGAGGGCUGGAUUUGCAGUGGCCGGCGCCGCCGCAGCCCAAAUCGCCGUCCCCGC
rnacentral:lncRNA from 1 species